UACGAAGGGGGCUAGCGUUGCUCGGAAUUACUGGGUCGUAAAGCGCACGUAGGCGGCUUUCUAAGUCGGGGGUGAAAUCCUGGAGCUCAACUCCAGAACUGCCUUCGAUACUGGAUGGCUUGAAUCCGGGAGAGGGAUGCAGAAUUCCAGGUGUAGCGGUGAAAUGCGUAGAUAUCUGGAGGAAUACCGGUGGCGAAGGCGGCAUCCUGGACCGGUAUUGACGCUGAGGCGCGAAAGCCAGGGGAGCAAACGGG
rnacentral:rRNA from 1 species